AUAAUAAAAAUACUACUGAUACUACUGCUACCACUACUAGUCAUGUUUUCUUCUUCAAUCGUGUUUUGAUGUCUUCUCGUAGGAACCAUCUCAGAAACAGAUCUCAGUCGCUCGGAAGAAGUUUGACUUCUACGACAAGGACGGGAGCGGCUCAGUUAGAAGAGAAGAUCUGAAGAACGUCUUCACAGAUCUGUUCCCCAGUCUGAACAAGAACAUGUUGGAGCGCUUCAUUACUGAUGAGCUCAGAGCUGCAGACCAGAGCUUCUCCACCACUGUAGACUUCCAGGUGUUUGUGGGAUUCUACAAGCGUCUCUUCUCCCAGUGCAGAGCUGUGGUGGUUCAGGACUCUGAAGGUGUUCUUCCUGAGGAGAAGAUCAGCUCCGUCAGUAAGGUGAGUUUAGUUCACCUGGAGAAGGUCUGAAAGAUCUCUGUGUGUCACCAAGGAUGAGUAAAACACCCCACCCUCCUGUUCCCUCUCAGGCCAACACCGUUAGCAUUGUUAGCACCGUUAGCACCGUUAGCUAUGAGCCGCCGGCUCUCUGUCGCCAUGUUGAGAGCUGUUUAGAGACAAUCAAAAUGCUUCCAAUUUCAUAUUAAUGCACCGUCCAUCUUUUCUUCUUCCACUUUAUUGAAAACAGUAGUUCAAAUAAGCGUAUAUAGAACUUGAUAUUAGUUAAUUAUGAACAACUAAAUAACUAUUAUUUAGUGCUGGGCAAGUUAACGCGCUAUUAUCACGUUAACACAUUAAUUAAUUAACGCCGACAAUUAUUUUAUCACGCGUUAACGCAUUUUUUUUUUAUUACAGGUUUAAUGUCAGUACUUCAUUUAUAACAUCACAGGUU